rnacentral:rRNA from 1 species
GAUGAACGCUGGCGGCGUGCCUAAUACAUGCAAGUCGAGCGAACAGACGAGGAGCUUGCUCGUCUGACGUUAGCGGCGGACGGGUGAGUAACACGUGGAUAACCUACCUAUAAGACUGGGAUAACUUCGGGAAACCGGAGCUCAUACCGGAUAAUAUAUUGAACCGCAUGGUUCAAUAGUGAAAGACGGUUUUGCUGUCACUUAUAGAUAGAUCCGCGCCGCAUUAGCUAGUUGGUAAGGUAACGGCUUACCAAGGCAACGAUGCGUAGCCGACCUGAGAGGGUGAUCGGCCACACUGGAACUGAGACACGGUCCAGACUCCUACGGGAGGCAGCAGUAGGGAAUCUUCCGCAAUGGGCGAAAGCCUGACGGAGCAACGCCGCGUGAGUGAUGAAGGUCUUCGGAUCGUAAAACUCUGUUAUUAGGGAAAAACAAAUGUGUAAGUAACUAUGCACGUCUUGACGGUACCUAAUCAGAAAGCAACGGCUAACUACGUG